rnacentral:rRNA from 1 species
GACGGGGGGGGCAAGUGUUCUUCGGAAUGACUGGGGGUAAAGGGCACGUAGGCGGUGAAUCGGGUUGAAAGUGAAAGUCGCCAAAAAGUGGCGGAAUGCUCUCGAAACCAAUUCACUUGAGUGAGACAGAGGAGAGUGGAAUUUCGUGUGUAGGGGUGAAAUCCGUAGAUCUACGAAGGAACGCCAAAAGCGAAGGCAGCUCUCUGGGUCCCUACCGACGCUGGGGUGCGAAAGCAUGGGGAGCGAACAGG